rnacentral:rRNA from 1 species
GUAGGUGGCAAGCGUUGUCCGGAAUUAUUGGGCGUAAAGCGCGCGCAGGCUGUCCUUUAAGUCUGAUGUGAAAGCCCACGGCUCAACCGUGGAGGGUCAUUGGAAACUGGGGGACUUGAGUACAGAAGAGGAAAGCGGAAUUCCAAGUGUAGCGGUGAAAUGCGUAGAGAUUUGGAGGAACACCAGUGGCGAAGGCGGCUUUCUGGUCUGUAACUGACGCUGAGGCGCGAAAGCGUGGGGAGCAAACAGGAUUAGAUACCCUGGUAGUCCACGCCGUAAACGAUGAGUGCUAAGUGUUAGGGGGUUUCCGCCCCUUAGUGCUGCAGCUAACGCAUUAAGCACUCCGCCUGGGGAGUACGGCCGCAAGGCUG